GCCGUCCCUCCCGUCCGCCCGACCUACCACGACGUACCGUACCGGGACGGGACGACGCGAGGUAGGGGAAGGUAAGUUAGGUACGUAAGUAGGGCGGCGAACGACCGUCGACGUCCACGCANGCGCGUGUGUGAGAGCUCGGUGUAAGCACUUUAUCGGAGCGAACACAUGCUAAUAACCGAUGGGCGUGACGGUACCCGAGGAAUAAGCACCGGCUAACUUCGUGCCAGCAGCCGCGGUAAUAC
rnacentral:rRNA from 1 species